GUCGGGAUGGCACAAUCUGGUAAUGCGUAGCCCUGCUAAGGCUAUUUCCUCACGGAUAUACGGGUUCAAAUCCCGUUCCCGACG
rnacentral:tRNA from 1 species